rnacentral:piRNA from 1 species
AAAGAUCAGGUCUUGCUGUUGGC